GGAUGCGAGGGCAAUCUGGCUACAACAUAUGUCACCCAUUGGUCACUGGAGCUGACUAAGGUGAUCUGGCAGGAUAGGCAAGUGACCUUGCCCAUCCUAACCACUCCAUAUGCACCCCUCCAAAAGCUGCAUUCUCAUUCCAAGAGAACAGCCUUCUUUGGCAGAGGAAGGUUGUACUGGUCAGAAGUACACAGGUGCUGUGUAUGCCCCCAGCCAGAACCUUCAAACAACCUUCAAACAAGGCAGAGCAGAUCCAAAAUGGUAAAGAGGAUCUUUCUUCAAAUACCAUUUGUUGUUGUCUUGUUAUU
rnacentral:snRNA from 1 species